UCCCAGACGAUAGCGAACAAGUAGAGUGAUCGAAAGAUGAAAAGCACUUUGAAAAGAGAGUUAAACAGCACGUGAAAUUGUUGAAAGGGAAGCGCUUGCGACCAGACUCGCCCGCGGGGUUCAGCCGGCAUUCGUGCCGGUGUACUUCCCCGUGGGCGGGCCAGCGUCGGUUUGGGCGGCCGGUCAAAGGCCCCUGGAAUGUAGUACCCUCCGGGGUACCUUAUAGCCAGGGGUG
rnacentral:rRNA from 1 species